AGCGAACGCUGGCGGCAGGCCUAACACAUGCAAGUCGAACGAAGCCCUCGGGCGUAGUUGCGGACGGGUGAGUAACACGUGGGAACGUACCGUCGGGUUCGGAACAACUGAGGGAAACGUGAGCUAAUAGCGGAUGAGCCCUACGGGUGAAAGAUUUAUCGGCAUUAGAACGGCCCGCGUUAGAUUAGCUAGUUGGUGAGGUAAAGGCUCACCAAGGCCACGAUCUAUAGCUGGUCUGAGAGGAUGAUCAGCCACACUGGGACUGAGACACGGCCCAGACUCCUACGGGAGGCAGCAGUGGGGAAUCUUGCGCAAUGGGCGAAAGCCUGACGCAGCCAUGCCGCGUGAAUGAUGAAGGUCUUAGGAUUGUAAAAUUCUUUUACCAGGGAAGAUAAUGACGGUACCUGGAGAAAAAGCCCCGGCUAACUUCGUGCCAGCCGCCGCGGUAACAC
rnacentral:rRNA from 1 species